rnacentral:tRNA from 1 species
AAGAAAGAAGCAUAAGUGGUUUGAUGCAGUUGGCUUGAAACCAGCGUAUGAGGGUUCGAUUCCUUCCUUUCUUG